rnacentral:tRNA from 1 species
GCGCCUGUAGCUCAGCUGGAUAGAGCAUCGGACUUCGAAUCCGACGGUCGCCCGUUCGAAUCGGGCCGGGCGCA